rnacentral:rRNA from 1 species
ACGGAGGGUGCAAGCGUUGCUCGGAAUCACUGGGCGUAAAGGGUGCGUAGGCGGCCUCUUAAGUCUGACGUGAAAGCCCAGGGCUUAGCCCUGGAAGGGCGUUAGAAACUGGGAGGCUCGAGUGCCGGAGGGGAGAGUGGAAUUCCCGGUGUAGCGGUGAAAUGCGUAGAUAUCGGGAAGAAUACCGGUGGCGAAAGCGACUCUCUGGACGGUUACUGACGCUAAGGCACGAAAGCGUGGGGAGCAAACAGGA